rnacentral:rRNA from 1 species
GACAGAGGUGCCAAGCGUUAGGCGGAAUCACUGGGCUUAAAGCGUGUGUAGGCGGAUCGUUAAGUACCUUGUGAAAUCCCACGGCUCAACCGUGGAACUGCUGGGUAUACUGGCGAUCUUGAGCCACCUAGGGGCGAGCGGAACAAGCGGUGGAGCGGUGAAAUGCGUAGAUAUCGCUUGGAACGCCAAUGGUGAAAACAGCUCGCUGGGGGUGUGCUGACGCCUAGAGAAC